rnacentral:rRNA from 1 species
GAUGAACGCUGGCGGCGUGCUUAACACAUGCAAGUCGAACGGUGAAGGCGGAGCUUGCUCUGCUGGAUCAGUGGCGAACGUGUGAGUAACACGUGAGCAAUCUGCCCCUGACUCUGGGAUAAGCGCUGGAAACGGCGUCUAAUACUGGAUACGAGCUGCGAAGGCAUCUUCAGCAGCUGGAAAGAAUUUCGGUCAGGGAUGAGCUCGCGGCCUAUCAGCUUGUUGGUGAGGUAAUGGCUCACCAAGGCGUCGACGGGUAGCCGGCCUGAGAGGGUGACCGGCCACACUGGGACUGAGACACGGCCCAGACUCCUACGGGAGGCAGCAGUGGGGAAUAUUGCACAAUGGGCGAAAGCCUGAUGCAGCAACGCCGCGUGAGGGACGACGGCCUUCGGGUUGUAAACCUCUUUUAGCAGGGAAGAAGCGAAAGUGACGGUACCUGCAGAAAAAGCGCCGGCUAACUACGUG